AAAGAAAGAAAGAAAAUGAGAGGAAGGAAGAGUUGUCUUCCAAGAAGAAGAAAGGGAGAAAAUGAAAGAAUGGAGAAGAAAUGAAGAUCAACCAAGGUGGGAGAAAAUGGUGUAGGAAGCUCUCUUGAAAUAAAGAUAGGGAGGUUCAAGAAUAAGGUUGUUCUUAUGUCAAAAGAGAGAAGAAAAAGUGGCAAGCUUGUGGGUGGAAGCUCAUGGUGUUU